rnacentral:lncRNA from 1 species
AUGUCUACACCUGGACGGCCCGUGCUGGGUGGGCAGGGAGGCGCAGCCACACUGGUGCCCAGUUGCCCUGAUGAAGGUUCCUGGGCUUCACCCUGUGAGGAACCAACUCUGUGUGGCAGAAGGAGCUUGGCAGGAAGGCCAGCCCUCGCCAUUGGAGCUUACAUUGACCUAUUUCCUUUUUUGAAGAAGUGUGACAAGAAACCCACCCUCACCUGUGGUGUGGGGUUGCUCAAGGAGCUGGCCAGCAGGAUGACCUGGGCCAGUCAGGGCAGCCUCUCCCCUAGGCGGGGGUUACCCAGGAGGUCAGCUGCAGCCCGGGGAGGUGGCACACGGGGGCAGCCCUCCCAGUGCGCAGCGUGGUCAGCACCAGGGUCCGCUGUGGUGGGACUGGACCUCCGGGGCUGCCCGUCAGUCCUGGGAACAAGGGGUGCCCACACGCCCGGCUGGGCUCCUGCAAACAGGGCUCCCAAGGACACCCAUGCUGUGGCCACACGAGCAGGCGGCGAGGACGGUGAGGCGGGGCACCCAGAGCCCUCAGGUGGGGGCGCAGCCCCGCUUCUCUGCGAAUUCCUGAGGUCACACCAGGACGGUCCUCGUGGUAGAACACGAGGCCACAUCUGCCCUGAUCAGGGGUCCACGGUGAUCUUUUUUCCUUUAAAGGAGCUUGUGGGAGCGAGAGCCCAGCCCGAUGAACUGCUUUGCUGUCGCUCAGAGCUGAGUGUCAGGUUGGGGCCAGGACCCACACACACCCCUAGGCGUGCCCGCGUGUGCACACGAACGCAGGCACACGUGAUGAGUGGACACGGAGCAGAGAGGAGGAAAGCCCUCUUUAGAGCUCCCGCCCCAGCACGUGGAGUGGGGCCGCCAGCACAGGGCGCUGCGGCCCUGGGGGCGGGGCUGCCUUGGAGGGGGCGUGUCUGGGCAAAGGGGCGGGGCUCGGGGGGGCCUGUUGGGGGCGGUGCUCUCUGCCGAGGGGCGGGGCCCGGAGCGGGACCUGUUGGGGGCGGUGCUGCCUGGGGAGGGGGCGUGUCUGGGCGGAGGGGCGGGGCCUGUUGGGGCCAACGCAUCCAGCCUGCCCUUCUGUUACCCUGA